rnacentral:lncRNA from 1 species
AUGCUUUGCAGGUUUUUUUUUUUUUUAUGUUCCACAGAACAGCCACCUGUUCACUCCACCCACCUCUGGGCGCCUGGCCACAGGGCUCAUGAGCAGAGAGACGGGACCAGUCACCAGCCUGCCUCACUGGGCAGAGGUUGUCAGCGGCUUUGUCUAUCCCCCAGCCCCCCUGCUCCAUCCUUAGGCCACAGCGCAUUGCUAACUGCUGUGAAACCAAGCAACAAGUCACUCCCCAGGAACAAAGGUGACGGCCACCAGGCCGCGGAGCCUUGACCUCAUCUCAUUUCCUACGUGCCGUCCACCCCAUAAUCACUGUGCCUCCAGGGAGCGUGCCCGCCAAGCAGCGCGUGCUGUCGGCCUCCUGUUUACAGAGCCUUUCUGGCGUCAGGUAUAUAUAAUCAUGACCGCUGUGUGUUCCUUCCCUGUCUUCCUUGGCAGGUGCUGUGACAUAAGAAGGAUGCACACGUCUUUUUUUUCAGGCAGUUGAGACAGCUUAUCUCUCCCCCGAUACUUGUUAAAAAGGAUUUGAAAUUGAGUGUCAGUGUUGCAGGGUGAAAAGAUUCUCUGAGCUCUGUUGCAUGCUGCAUAUUACCAAAGUGUCUGCUUAAAAAUAAUUAAGAUGCUAAAUCUCAAAGCAGCAUUUUUUACCACAACAAAAAAAUCUUUAAGGAUGAAAUAGGUAGGUGAAAUAAUACAACACCGUGGCUUUGAAAUGAUGUGAGAGGAUGCAAAAGUUCAUUGAGCUGUACACUUAUGGUUUGUGUACUUUCCUCUAACAUUGCUUGUGCUCAGUCAUCUCUGACUCUGUGCGACCCCAUGGACUGUAGCCUGCCAGGCUUCUCUGUCCAUGGCAUUUUCCAGGCAAGAAUACUGGACUGAGUUACCACUGAUAGUAAACUUCGUUAAAAAGUUUAUAUACAUAUAAAAGUAAUCAUAGAGGAGGAAGACAUAAAGGGCGAGGGGGAGGGUACAGUUGAAACAACAUUAACCAUGAGUUGGGUGAGUUCUAGUCUAUUUCUGUGUGUUUGAAAUUUUUCACAAUAAAAGAAUAGAAAUGCAGGAAACA